GUGACCGCACAGGCGCGAGGUGCCCCGACUGGGGAGAAUCUGGGAAGCCGGUGGGAAUCCGGCACAGGCCCGCUGCGGUGAAUCGAGCCCCACACGGGGGACUCGACAAGUCCGAAGACCGGCCCCGCGUCCAACCAUCCA
rnacentral:ncRNA from 1 species